UACAGAGGUCUCAAGCGUUGUUCGGAUUCAUUGGGCGUAAAGGGUGCGUAGGCGGCGCGAUAAGUCGGGUGUGAAAUCUCGGAGCUUAACUCCGAAACUGCAUUCGAUACUGCCGUGCUUGAGGACUGGAGAGGAGACUGGAAUUUACGGUGUAGCGGUGAAAUGCGUAGAGAUCAUGAGGAAGACCAGUGGCGAAGGCGGGUCUCUGGACAGUUCCUGACACUGAGGCACGAAGGCCAGGGGAGCAAACGGG
rnacentral:rRNA from 1 species